rnacentral:rRNA from 1 species
UACAGAGGGGGCAAGCGUUGUCCGGAUUUACUGGGCGUACAGCGCGCGCAGGCGGCACUGGACGUGCCGGGUGACAAGCCACCGCUCACCGGUGGAGGGCCACGGUACACGACAGUUCUGGAGGCAGGGAGAGGGAUGUGGAAUGCCCGGUGGAGCGGUGAAAUGCGUAGAGAUCGGGCGGAACACCAGCGGCGAAGGCGGCAUCCUGGCCCUGACCUGACGCUGAGGCGCGAGAGCGUGGGGAGCAAACUGG